CAGCGGUGUUCGGCAGAAAAAGUGUCCGUUUUUAGUUCCAUAGAAAUAGAGCCAAACACCGCUGGGCUUUCGUGUGGUUUAAAAUGGCCGCUGCCAACGACGACCACCCUGAAUUCGGUUUAAUUGAGAAGUGUCUGCGGUUAACCACAAUGUUCUAAUUCGGAUCAAUAGGUUAACCAGCAGCACACUUCUCUCCUGGGUGGCCGUCCGUUCGGCAGGUUUGUUCGGGAAAAAGAGUCAUUCGAAUGGCUGGGCUAUAGAAAACAGCCAUUCAUACGAACAGGAUACAAACAGACGAAUGCAACUAAAAUAAGCAGACAGAUGGUUCUGUCACAAGACUCUAUAAAACCCACCAGAGAUAACCAAGAGACAGAGAAUGCAUCCUGCAGUGUAUCUACUUAUGUACUACCCCAAUAGAGCUCUGCCAUUUGCAUAUCAUAUUGGAGAUAAUAUACUUCAAGUAACAACCCAUACCAACCUGAAUAACAAUGCAUACUAUCGAAAUACACAAUACAAUAAUAAAUGCGUAAAUUAAUACAUUUUCCACAGCAGUUUUUCUUCCACCAGUUUAAACUAUACAUAUAGGGUUAGCCAUGUCAGUAAAUAAAUGUUCAGUUAAAGUUCUUGUUGUUGGUGAGAGAACUCAUUAUGAAUGUUCACCACAGGUUUGUAAAUGUUGUAUUACUUUUAAUAAACAACCUAUUCUUGCCAAAUGGGUCCUCAGUUAUACCAUGCUCUAUUAAUGGGGGGCCCAGAGUUAUGUUGAUGGUAAGUAAUAAAGGUACUGUCAAGUUAAAGUGAUGUGUAUUAAUUACAAACACCACUAGAUGGCUCCAGUGAAAUGGCCCUACAGGUAUUACCCUGACAUCCCAUCCAACUGUUAAUCCACAGAUCACUAUGAUCAUAGGCAAACCUAUUUCAUCUAAGGUUUGCGUCGUGAUCUUAGAUAGUUCAGUUUACAUAGACUAACAUACAAAAUCCCAUGACAAUAUUUCUUCUGUGUGUAGUGUUGCUGUACUAUGUGUCUUUAUUACCUUUUGUGUCCAAUCCUCCAUUAAAGUUUUGUGUCCAAUCCUCCAUUGAUGGUUCUCUGACUUUGAUUCCCUUUGGACUAUAACACCCUUAGACUGGAGUGUUGCAGUCAUACUAGAUAUAUCAAUUGUAUUUACAAAACCCAACCCAGUGCCCACACCUCCCAGAACCGUACCCAAGACACCCCUCC